AAAACAGCUGAUUUGAUUUUCUGAAAAUCAGUACAGUGCAGGCUAAAAGAUGCUGAUUUCAUUUUCUGGAAAUUGAUGAACAGCUGAUCAAUAACACCUUUCUACUGUGUUCAAAGUUCUUCCAUGACAGUUCAUUUAUAUUGUUUACACAUUCAUCCAGUUGAUAUAUUAAGAUGUUUAUGCACAUUAAUUCUUAAUUAUUACUAGUUUGUUUUUAGAACUCAGUAUAUUACUACGUCCAUAACACUGUUUGAAAUCUUGAAAUCACCUGGGUUCAUACUUAUGAUGCUGUACUAUUGGUAAUAAAAAAAACCAAAUAAUAAUAAACAAAUGACUGCAUGUCUCCAUCUGAUUUUCUCUAAAUGAGGAAUCUACAUUCAUGGUCAUAUAUGGUAUUGUUUGUGUAGAAUGUGCAUAUGUAACUUUCAAAUAAAAUUUGAAGUGUUGGUCAUUUUACCCAUCCAUGCAUAAUAUAUUAUGUAGACCUUUCACAAAAAUGUUCAAAUUACUGUUGACAUGUCCUUAUAUGCAUGUAAAUUAAAUUGUAUGACUUCUCAUAAUUAUAUUUUGUUAUUUGCAGAGUAAUUUGAAAAGUGUCACACUGAUUUGAAAAAAAAAGGCUGGAAGAAAAUCUGGUACCUGCUUUGUCUUGAGAUUUACAAUGAUGUUCUUAUUGGUGAUCAUUUACCCGCACCCUUAUCCUGGUGUCAUAUACAAGAUGAAAUGAUGGAAAGAAAAACCUGAACUUUAGAAACAGGAAGACUGUGUUUUUGAAGAGAGAAGAGGACCAGAACUAAGAAGUCAUACAAUAAACACAUUGACAUCAUAAAAAGAAAUUGCAAUUUUGAGUUUGCAUGCAUAUGUCAGGUUUAAAUGUUGUCACAGAAUUUUUUUUCAGAAAGUCCCUUCUAAUAUCUUCUUGAAUUAAUAAAACAAAUGAACC
rnacentral:sRNA from 1 species